GACGAACGCUGGCGGCGUGCUUAACACAUGCAAGUCGAACGGAAAGGCCCUGCUUUUGUGGGGUGCUCGAGUGGCGAACGGGUGAGUAACACGUGAGUAACCUGCCCUUGACUUUGGGAUAACUUCAGGAAACUGGGGCUAAUACCGGAUAGGAGCUCCUGCUGCAUGGUGGGGGUUGGAAAGUUUCGGCGGUUGGGGAUGGACUCGCGGCUUAUCAGCUUGUUGGUGGGGUAGUGGCUUACCAAGGCUUUGACGGGUAGCCGGCCUGAGAGGGUGACCGGCCACAUUGGGACUGAGAUACGGCCCCGACUCCUACGGGAGGCAGCAGUGGGGAAUAUUGCACAAUGGGCGGAAGCCUGAUGCAGCAACGCCGCGUGCGGGAAGACGGCCUUCGGGUUGUAAACCGCUUUCGCCUGUGACGAAGCGUGAGUGACGGUAAUGGGUAAAGAAGCACCGGCUAACUACGUG
rnacentral:rRNA from 1 species